AGCGAACGCUGGCGGCAGGCUUAACACAUGCAAGUCGAGCGGGCACUUCGGUGUCAGCGGCAGACGGGUGAGUAACACGUGGGAACGUACCCUUUGGUUCGGAAUAACGCUGGGAAACUAGCGCUAAUACCGGAUACGCCCUUUUGGGGAAAGGCUUGCUGCCGAAGGAUCGGCCCGCGUCUGAUUAGCUAGUUGGUGGGGUAAUGGCCUACCAAGGCGACGAUCAGUAGCUGGUCUGAGAGGAUGAUCAGCCACACUGGGACUAAGACACGGCCCAGACUCCUACGGGAGGCAGCAGUGGGGAAUAUUGGACAAUGGGCGCAAGCCUGAUCCAGCCAUGCCGCGUGAGUGAUGAAGGCCUUAGGGUUGUAAAGCUCUUUUGUCCGGGACGAUAAUGACGGUACCGGAAGAAUAAGCCCCGGCUAACUUCGU
rnacentral:rRNA from 1 species